rnacentral:lncRNA from 1 species
AUUUGCGGAUGCCUCGAAUGAAUGAAGUUCUUCCCUAUUUAUACGAAUUCUAAGGCAGUUUGAGAAGAACUUUCCUUUUCCUUCUCGAUAUGGGAUUUAACAUUUUCCUCCCCGAUAUUUCCGGAAAUCCUCCGUGAAAUUCGGGAAAGUCGGCCAAUUUCGUAAAUUGGGCUUUAAUGGGCCUUCUAGAAAGUCAUAGGUCGGCCCACCCGAUUUAACCUCAAUUCCAAUCUUCGUAAAC